UAUGUUUUAAAUGAAGUAAGAUAUAUACUCUGAAGCAAAGUUACCUUGUAUAAAGGCACCCAAAUAUAUAAAAAAAACUACAUUCCGGUGAAUCUCCAACCACAAUUCAGUAAGGAGAAUUCUAGACUUCCACCUAUGCCGAGAUAGAAAGGUUAUGUGUAGCUAGACCAGCAAGAGACCCGAUAACCAAAAUUCCUCCAGUAGCCAGAACGAAAGUAACGAACGCAUGCAAGGGGCAACCAUGUGCAUCCUCUUCAUCUGGAGCAUCAUAUUGUAACAUUUCAUCUUAUCGCAAACCAAUGAUUAAUUAAAAUAGGGCAAUAAUGGUCAUCUAAGCAACGUUAAAGAAAAGAUGAAGUCUUUUACGUUACUCACCAAAGAUAACUUGAUUAUCCUCUUUUGUAGUAGCUUCUACUAGCAAGCGCGUCUAUGUAAAUUGCUUCUUUUGUUUCUUUGGCACCGCCCCAUAAGACAGCUGCCAAAUAUUGAAAGAAGACUAAGUCGUCCAAUAUUUAGACGUAAGACCUGACAUCGGCCAAUAAAUGAAUCUGGCACCAGAAUUUGGAAAUUUUGUCUGAAUAUUGAUAAGGCGACUUAAAUUCUCCAUUACAUAUGUUAGCAUGAUCCACCUAGGCAAGAGGGGUAAUCAGGUAAUAUCGCUUGUUGAACUUUUUUGCACUAUCAGAGUAAACCUCAAAGAUCUUAGUAUUUUGUGUUUGUGAGAUCAGACAUUGACCCUGCGUCGAGUCGGCGCAUCUCUGUUGGGCUUUAAAUAGAUGGAAAAAGAGUGUUAAGGUCGGCAUAACUUUUUUGUAUUCACAUCAACACUGGAAGAAUUUGACAUAGGUCCAACUCAUCGAAUGUAGUUGCGAAUAAGACAUUACUAAUAUAUUUAGAAGGCCUACCUCAAAAUCAUUGCAAGGAAGGCGAAAACCUAUAAAGGAAAACAUGCAUUCAUGAAGAGGGACGACACAUCCAUCAUAUUUGUUGCAUAUUGUAGCGGGGUAUUCGUUACCAUUAGAGAUAUUGACUAAAUCCAAGGUAAACCAUACAAGUCGAGUCGCCACCGCACUUCUAUUUAUCCAAAGGAAUGGUUAGAAAGCGAACAAAAACCUAAAAGUUUUAUCGAAUAAAAAACUAGUAAAAAUGUCAGAGAUCUGGGUAAGGGGGUUGGUUAUGCAAUGGGAAAGUUUUAAGCACCUAAAACAUCAUAGGUACUCCUAGGGAGCCCUUUUCAUAAGUGUUGUUCUAGUCUAAAGGGUGUAGGUAUAUCUAAAGUAUUAUUUACUAAAAGGAAGGUUAAAAGAAAAUGACUCGCAAGGAUGUCGCACCCACUGCCUACGUAUCUCAUCUGAGUAUGAGAAUCAGAGUCUUCGUAGCUCGGCUACCUAUGGGUUAAAGAUAAGUGUGCUCGGUAAGACGUCGCGUCUUAUGCCUACGUAUCUCAUCUAGAAUGGGAAUCAGAGCAAAACGUAGUUCAGAUAACUAGGGGUUAAGGAUUGCCAUCUGAACAUGGACUUACAAAAGAGGACACCAGCUGUGUCAAAGGAGGGUGGGCAGUGUGUUCAACAUCCUAGCAGUAGGUGUCGCAGCUCGCUGAAUCGAAUCUUAGGCCGUUACCUCUUUGCAAUAGAACGGACUAACAUGCCACAAGAUCGGAGAGGCACGGAAGGUCUAAAAGUGGGGAAGCUCUGCUCUAGAGUUGUCAUGCAAUAUGGACCUAUGUGUUAGGAUUUACAAAGGGGAACAUCUACCUAAUGUUAGCAUGCAAAGAAUAAGGGAAUUCUACCUAUGUUAUCAUACAAAGGGUUCUACCUAAUGGGUGCUACCUAAACGGAACAAGAGUCGACGGAUGGAGCGCGGAGAGGAGUUACGGAUAAGGGUAGAUGGCGAUGCCGGAGGCAAUCGACUUACCAGUUGUAACACCCCAAAAUUUGCCCUCCUCAUUCAUGCAUUCAUUUAGCAUUUCAUAUUGCAUUUCAUCAUGUCAAUCAGAAUUAAAAACGAAAAAAAUAUAUAUAUAUAAUUUUUUACAAAAAAAAAUAAUAAAUUUUUUUUAAUUAAUUAAUUAAAUAAAUAAAAUAUAAUAAAAUUUUUUUGGACUUGGGUCUCUCUCAUUUGAGCCCACAAAACCAUGAAAUUCAGUCUAUAAAUACCAAGGCUUCACUUGAGAGAACACAGAACAAAAGGGGAUUUUGAAGAGAAGCAAAAUACUCUAAGGUUUCCUUGGAACAAAACCCUGAGGAAAAAGAUAGUGAGAGAAGACCUAACGGAGUUCAGAGCAGCCUCCAAACCCAAGGAACCUAAAGCUACACAGAACUCACCCUCUGCCUCACAAUUAACCCUGAAUUGUUUUGUAAACUUCACGGGUGCAACUCAAUUUCAAUCAAGCUCUCCAAUCAGGUUGCCAUUAUUCCUUACUUUGCCCAUGGGUUUAAUUAUGUUAUGAAUGUAUAUAACAAUGCCUUGAAUUUAACCAUUUAAUUUCUGAAAUCUAUGCCACAGGGUUUGAGUCUUUUGAAACCAUACUGUUAUCAUGAAAAAAUGCUUAUGUGUUUCACUAACCCUUUUGUUGAAUUUUUGUGAGGUCACAUGACUUUGGUUAGGAUAACUUGCGUGGUUUCCCACUUUAUUUGUGGAUAACCCCUGGAGGUUCAUUCCCGAUACUACUGACUCACUUUUCUUUGAUGGCAUUAGCUUGGAAGGAUCUCAGGGUUUCAUUCCUCUAAUUGCUGUUACUUCGAUCUUUAUCGCGUGGUACUUUUACAUUUUUCCCGCAUUUUACUGCUUUCUAGCUGGAAGACCUCGAUAUGAGGCACGUUGAGCCCUUGUUGGCACAUUUACUUUAUACAUGUUUGUUUUGUAUGUGUUUGUAUCCCUGCAGGUAGCGCGGUUCCUUCGUCAAGGACUGCCUUUUUGCCCUUGAGCAUCCCAAACCCUAAACCCAAAGCAACACGUUAACUCCUUCUCAUAACGCGAGUAAGUCUCCAGGUCGAGCAUCCGGUAGAUUGCGUAGUGACGUCGUUCGUCCAAAACCCAAUCCAUAACCGUAUUAGCCGAACUACGUUUUGCUCUGUUCUCAGGCCAGAUGAGAUACGUAGGCAUAAGACGCGAUUUCUUAGAGAGCACACAUCCCCCAACCCAUAGGUCGACGAGCUACGAAGACUCUGAUUUUCAUAUUCAGUGAGAUACUAUGCAGUGAUGCGAAUCCGCGACGAUCAUUUUCAUUUAACCUUUUUUUUGGUAAACAGCACAAGAUAAACCCACACCUUUAGACAAAAUACAAAAGUGGAUCCCGUAGAACUACGGAUGCGUAGGGGUGCUAAUACCUUCCCUUCGCAUAACGACUCCCGAACCCAAGAUUUUGGUUGCGAGACCCUCUCUCCUUUCCUUUUUCAGGUUUACUUCGAGCGUUUCCUUUCCCUCUUGGUAUGAUAACGCACGGUGGCGACCUUCUGUCAUCUUUUCGCGUUGUUUUUUCACGCACUGUAUUUUUCAGGUUGCGACACCAGUAGAUGGCAUGCCUGAGGCAUCGUACUACAGAGGAUGGAUGAAUGGCUGCUGGUCACUGUUAAAUUUUGAAAAUGAUUAUCGACGUUGGAUCGAGCUUUUGAUUUAUUUUGAAAUUGUUAUCGGAUGUUCGUUUUAAUUUUGUAUUAAAGAUGACUAAAGAAAUAAAGAAAUAAUAUUAUACACUUUAUGGGGGAGGGUACAUUUGUUAUGAAUGGGGAUUGUUCAUGGCAAACAACAAUAGAAUAUAUGCCUCAUACAUCAUACAAUAGGCAACAAUUAUCAUAUAGAUCGAUAAAUAAACAUAUUGUAAUCAAACUAAAGAAUCAAAUAAUGGACCAUUUAAACAAUGCAUGGAGUAUGAACAUGUUAAAUAUCAAGCAAUAGAAACAUGAAUGAAGAAACAGACUAAAUAAUUAUGAAUCAAACAGAUGAAAAAUACACACAAGGUCCCACUGAUAAUUUAAUCAGAAAUGAGGUAAGGACCAGAUAAAAUCAAGUAAAAGGCCUCUAAUACAUGCAUAUGAGCAUGAACAAGGAUCACAAAAGAUCUCUUCAAUUGCCAUAAGCAAUCCCUAAGUCAAACAUCAAUCUAAAAGAAGUCACUGAAAAUUCAAGUCAACUUAAAAAUAACAAAUAAAUAGCAAAUUAAUCAAGAAAAUUAUAAAAAAUUAAACUAAAUAAGUGGGUCAGGACAUCUCAUUCCCCCAAAAAAUAUUUUAAAAAUAACGAAAUUUACAUAAAUUAAUUAAAAUAAAACAGAGAUCAAACCAAAAGUCAAUUAAUGAGACUAGGUUAGAAAUAAAUCAAGAAUAAAUAGUAAAUUAAUCAAGAAAAUUAUGAAAAAUUAAACUAAAUAAGGUGGGGUCAGGACAUCAUCAUCCCCAAAAAAGAUUUUAAAAAUAAUGAAAAUUGGUAUGUAAAUUAAUUAAAAUAAAACAGAAGUCAAACUAAAAGUCCACCAACCAAACUAGGUCAAAAAUAAAUCCAAAAUAAAUUGAAAAUAUGAAAUAAAAUUCGAAGAAAAGGUCAGGUUGACCAUGAGAUAGUGGUCAACCUUCAUCCCAAAAAUCAAAUGCUAAAAAUAAUUUUAAGUCAUAAAAAUAAAAUCAAUAAAAAAAUGUGUUAAAGUGGACCAUUUAGAAUAAAUAAUUAAAAUAAAAUACUAAUAUUAAAAAAAUACGAAAAUAAAAAUUAUAUAAAAUUAAAUAAAACGUUAAAGGUUAUGUGUAGCUAGACCAGCAAGAGACCCGAUAACCAAAAUUCCUCCAGUAGUCGGAACGAAAGUAACGAACGCAUGCAAGGGGCAACCGUGUGCAUCCUCUUCAUCUGGAGCAUCAUAUUGUAACAUUUCAUCUUAUCGCAAACCAAUAAUUAAUUAAAAUAGGACAAUAAUGGUCAUCUAAGCAACGUUAAAGAAAAGAUGAAGUCUUUUACGUUACUCACCAAAGAUAACUUGAUUAUCCUCUUUUGUAGUAGCUUCUACUAGCA
rnacentral:lncRNA from 1 species